rnacentral:rRNA from 1 species
CCUACGGGUGGCAGCAGUGGGGAAUAUUGCACAAUGGGGGAAACCCUGAUGCAGCGACGCCGCGUGAGUGAAGAAGUAUUUCGGUAUGGAAAGCUCUAUCAGCCAGGAAGCAAUAGCGACCUUUGGGUCGCCAGACGGUACCUGAUUAAGAAGCCCCGGCUAACUACGUGCCAGCAGCCGCGGUAAUACGUAGGGGGCAAGCGUUAUCCGGAUUUACUGGGUGUAAAGGGAGCGUAGACGGCAGCGCAAGUCUGAAGGUAAAUGCCGGGGCUUAACCCCGGAACUGCUUUGGAAACUGUGGAGCUAGAGUGCAGGAGAGGUAAGUGGAAUUCCUAGUGUAGCGGUGAAAUGCGUAGAUAUUAGGAGGAACACCAGUGGCGAAGGCGGCUUACUGGAUUGUAACUGACGUUGAGGCUCGAAAGCGUGGGGAGCAAACAGGAUUAGAUACCCGAGUAGUC